rnacentral:rRNA from 1 species
UACAGAGGUCUCAAGCGUUGUUCGGAUUCAUUGGGCGUAAAGCGCGCGCAGGCGGUCCUUUAAGUCUGAUGUGAAAGCCCACGGCUCAACCGUGGAGGGUCAUUGGAAACUGGGGGACUUGAGUGCAGAAGAGGAAAGCGGAAUUCCACGUGUAGCGGUGAAAUGCGUAGAGAUGUGGAGGAACACCAGUGGCGAAGGCGGCUUUCUGGUCUGUAACUGACGCUGAGGCGCGAAAGCGUGGGGAGCAAACAGG